GAGAGUUGGUUAGGGAGGAGAUAAGGAAACAGGUGCUGAGGAGGUCUGUCUCUGAGGCAAGGAUCUGCUGACAGUUGGCUACUGACCAUUGAACUGCUAUAGAAAACUGAUUGAAGGAGCUAGGGAGUGGUGGCUGUCUAUUAUUUUAGGGAGUUAGGUAGUUAGUGAAUAGUUUAUAGAUAGAGUAGGUUAAGAUAGGCCUGGUGUGCCAGACAGGAGAAACUGUCCUCAAAAGGUAGUUAGAGAUCAUCAUCUCCAUCAUAGAGUCCAGACCUCUGAUCUAGCCAGAAAUCCUGAUCAUACUAUUCCUGGGUCCAAUACUAGGACCAUGUUCAUCUCUGAAGGGGAUAUUAGGCAGGGACAUGGAAGGUCCUACCUCUCUUCACUUCCUGUCUGGAGCUUGGUGGUGGUCAUAUGAUAUAUAACUUAAAGAGAAAGUGGAGAGAGAAAACCCUGCAAGGUACCUCGGAGGUCAUUUAGCCUAAUUGCCACCUCAUGAGGAUUUUAUGGACAUGGAAAUUGAAACAUCAAUUGAAAGAGAUUUUGCUAAGGUUACACAAGGAAUAAGUUUCAGCACCAAAAUUCUAACUUGAGUUGUAUGACUACAAGAUCUAGAUUACCAUUUCAUUAUUAAGUCCCAAAUCCAAUUUCUUCCCAGGUUCUGACAAAAAAUAUUCUUGAAACUGGAUUGUUUGUUGAUGUCAUAUCUUUAAAGUUUUAUUGCUAAAGGGUGUUUUCCAUUUUCCAAA
rnacentral:lncRNA from 1 species